rnacentral:tRNA from 2 species
GCGCCAGUAGCUCAAUCGGAUAGAGCAACGGCCUUCUAAGCCGUAGGUUGAGGGUUCGAUUCCCCCCUGGCGCG